rnacentral:rRNA from 1 species
GAGUUUGAUCAUGGCUCAGGAUGAACGCUUGCGGCGUGCUUAACACAUGCAAGUCGAACGAACCUUCGGGUUAGUGGCGGACGGGUGAGUAACGCGUGAGAAUCUGCCCUCAGGAGGGGGAUAACGGUUGGAAACGACCGCUAAUACCCCAUAUGCCUACUGGUGAAAUGAAUUUCGCCUGAGGAUGAGCUCGCGUCUGAUUAGCUAGUUGGUGAGGUAAUGGCUUACCAAGGCUUCGAUCAGUAGCUGGUCUGAGAGGAUGAUCAGCCACACUGGGACUGAGACACGGCCCAGACUCCUACGGGAGGCAGCAGUGGGGAAUUUUCCGCAAUGGGCGAAAGCCUGACGGAGCAACGCCGCGUGAGGGACGAAGGCCUCUGGGCUGUAAACCUCUUUUCUCAAGGAAGAAGAUAUGACGGUACUUGAGGAAUAAGCCACGGCUAAUUCCGUGCCAGCAGCCGCGGUAAUACGGGAGUGGCAAGCGUUAUCCGGAAUUAUUGGGCGUAAAGCGUCCGCAGGCGGCUUUUCAAGUCUGCUGUUAAAGCGUGGAGCUUAACUCCAUCAUGGCAGUGGAAACUGAAAGGCUUGAGUAUGGUAGGGGCAGAGGGAAUUCCCGGUGUAGCGGUGAAAUGCGUAGAUAUCGGGAAGAACACCAGUGGCGAAGGCGCUCUGCUGGGCCAUUACUGACGCUCAUGGACGAAAGCCAGGGGAGCGAAAGGGAUUAGAUACCCCUGUAGUCCUGGCCGUAAACGAUGAACACUAGGUGUCGGGGGAAUCGACCCCUUCGGUGUCGUAGCUAACGCGUUAAGUGUUCCGCCUGGGGAGUACGCACGCAAGUGUGAAACUCAAAGGAAUUGACGGGGGCCCGCACAAGCGGUGGAGUAUGUGGUUUAAUUCGAUGCAACGCGAAGAACCUUACCAGGGUUUGACAUCCUGCGAACCUCUUAGAAAUUUGAGGGUGCCUUCGGGAAUGCAGUGACAGGUGGUGCAUGGCUGUCGUCAGCUCGUGUCGUGAGAUGUUGGGUUAAGUCCCGCAACGAGCGCAACCCACGUUUUUAGUUGCCAGCAUUUAGUUGGGCACUCUAGAAAGACCGCCGGUGAUAAACCGGAGGAAGGUGUGGAUGACGUCAAGUCAUCAUGCCCCUUACACCCUGGGCUACACACGUACUACAAUGCUACGGACAAAGGGCAGCAAACUCGCGAGAGCUAGCAAAUCCCAUAAACCGUGGCUCAGUUCAGAUCGUAGGCUGCAACUCGCCUACGUGAAGUAGGAAUCGCUAGUAAUCGCAGGUCAGCAUACUGCGGUGAAUACGUUCCCGGGCCUUGUACACACCGCCCGUCACACCAUGGAAGUUGGCCAUGCCCGAAGUCGUUACUCCAACCCUUGUGGAGGAGGACGCCGAAGGUGGGGCUAAUGACUGGGGUGAAGUCGUAACAAGGUAACCA